GUCUUCGUGACCGUCGCCGCCAUUUUGAUGGACGGUCGUGUAGAGGCGGGGAGGAUUCUGCCGGAGGAUUUUGCCGGCGCAAGCGGCCACCUCGCCACCAUCACCAGUUGGCUGGAAAGGUUAGCGUCGGGGCCCAGCCCCAAAGGUCCGGGCCACUGAAUGAUCUAUUUCGGGUACACUUUGAAGGGCCCGCCCGGCAUGCCAUCCAGUAGCCACCCACGACAACCAUUCAAUUAAUUUAUUAGUUUGUUAUAGAUGUUCAAGCGGCGAAGCCCAAUUGUAUGUAUAUGAAUAGGCAAGAAUAUAAAUAUUCUUUGAUUUGUUUGACAUGAGAAA